GAUCCUGGCUCAGGAUGAACGCUAGCGGCAGGCUUAACACAUGCAAGUCGAGGGGCAGCAUAAUGGAUAGCAAUAUCUAUGGUGGCGACCGGCGCACGGGUGCGUAACGCGUAUGCAACCUACCUUUAACAGGGGGGAUAACACUGAGAAAUUGGUACUAAUACCCCAUAAUAUCAUAGAAGGCAUCUUUUAUGGUUGAAAAUUCCGAUGGUUAGUAGAUGGGCGAUGCGUUGUAUUAG
rnacentral:rRNA from 1 species